AUGGAUAGGAAGCAUCAGCCACAUCGUCCCGAUGACAGACAUCGGCUGCCUUCUCGCCUCCCAUGGAGCGUCGGUCGCCAUCAUCACGACGCCCGCCAACGCGUCGCUUGUCCAGAGCCGCGUCGACCGUGUCACCCCGCGCGGCGCGGUGACCGCGGCACCGCGAUCCCCUUUCCGGCCGCGGAAGCCGGCCUGCCGGAGGGGUGCGAGAGGUUGGACCUGAUCACGUCCCCCGCCAUGGUGCCUGGCUUCUUCGAGGCCAACAAGAAGUUCGGCGAGGCGGUGGAGCAGUACUGCCUUCAGGACGCGCCACGCCGGCCGAGCUGCAUCGUCGCCGGGAUGUGCCACACGUGGACGCUGCGCAUGGCGCGAGACCUUGGCGUGCCCUGCUACGUCUUCCACGGCUUUGGUGCGUUCGCCUUGCUGUGCAUCGAGCACCUCUACAGGCAAGGUCGGCACGAGGCGAUUGCGUCCGCGGACGAGCUCGUCGACAUCUCCGUCCUGCAGCCGUUUGAGUGCAAGAUCCUCGGCGGGCAGCUGCCGCCGCAUUUCUUGACAUCCACGUCCAUGGGGAGCGGGCUGAUGCAGGAGGUCCGAGAGUUCGGCAUGGCCGUGGACGGCGUCGUGGUGAACAGCUUCGACGAGCUGGAGCACGGCUCCACGGCGCUUCUCGCGGCAGCCGCAGGCAGGAAAGUUCUCGCCGUGGGGCCGGUCUCUCUGUGCUGCGCACCUAGUCUCGACCCGCAGAGCGAUGACGCGAGGCGGUGCAUGUCGUGGCUGGACGGCAAGAAGGCCAAGUCCGUGGUGUACGUGAGCUUCGGCAGCGCCGGGUGCAUGCCGCCCGCGCAGCUCAUGCAGCUCGGCAUGGCCCUGGUCUCGUGCGGCUGGCCUGCCAUGUGGGUUAUCAGAGGCGCUGACUCGUUGCCCGACGACGUGAAGGUGUGGUUACGUGAGAACACCGACGGCGACGGCGACGCGGACAGCAAGUGCCUGGUGGUGCGUGGGUGGGCGCCGCAGGUGGCCAUCCUGGCGCACCCGGCGGUGGGCGGAUUCAUGACGCACUGUGGGUGGGGCUCGACUCUGGAGAGCGUCGCCGCCGGCGUGCCCAUGGUCACCUGGCCUCUGUUCGCCGAGCAAUUCGUCAACGAGAAGCUGAUCGUGGACGUGCUUGGAAUCGGGGUAUCCGUCGGCGUGACAAAGCCAACGGCGAACGUCCUGACCGCUGGCAAGCAUGGCAGCGGAGAGGCGAAGGCGGAGGUUGGGGCGGAGCAAGUCAACAGCGCUCUGGAGAAGCUGAUGGACGGAGGGGUCGAAGCGGAGGACACGAGGAGGAAGGCUCUGGCAUGUAAAGUGAAAGCAAACGCUUCUUUGAAGGAAGGGGAGUCGUCGUACAACAAUUUGGAGGAAUUGAUUCAGUCUGUGUCUGAAAAUUAG
rnacentral:rRNA from 1 species